GCCAGGCUGGUGCAGUGGUUACAAUGCUGGACUAGGACUUGGGAGAGACCAGGGUUCAAACAGGACUUGGGAGACACCAGGGUUCAAAUCCCCCACUUGGCC